rnacentral:rRNA from 1 species
CAGAGGUCCCAAGCGUUGUUCGGAUUUACUGGGCGUAAAGGGAGCGUAGGUGGCAUUCUAAGUCUGAUGUGAAAGCUCUGAGCUUAACUCAGAAAUGGCAUUAGAUACUAGUUUGCUUGAGGAUUGGAGGGGAGAUUGGAAUACUUGGUGUAGCAGUGAAAUGCGUAGAUAUCAAGUGGAACACCAGUGGCGAAGGCGAAUCUCUGGACAAUUCCUGACACUGAUGCUCGAAAGCUAGGGGAGCAAACGGGAUUAGAUACCCGGUAGUCCUAGCUGUAAACGGUGCACGCUUGCUGUAGGUGGAAUCGACCCCGCCUGUAGCGAAGCUAACGCGUUAAGCGUGCCGCCUGGGAAGUACGGUCGCAAGAUUA